UACGGAGGGUGCAAGCGUUCUCCGGCUUCACUGGGUUUAAAGGGUGCGUAGGUGGGCAGGUAAGUCAGUGGUGAAAUCUUUGGGCUUAACCCGAAAACUGCCAUUGAUACUAUUUGUCUUGAAUAUUGUGGAGGUCAGCGGAAUAUGUCAUGUAGCGGUGAAAUGCUUAGAUAUGACAUAGAACACCAAUUGCGAAGGCAGCUGGCUACACAUAUAUUGACACUGAUGCACGAAAGCGUGGGGAUCAAACAGG
rnacentral:rRNA from 1 species